rnacentral:rRNA from 1 species
AACGAACGUUGGCGGCGUGGAUUAGGCAUGCAAGUCGAACGAAUCUCACCUGGGCAACCGGGUGAGGGAAGUGGCGAAAGGGGCAGUAAGGCGUGGGUAACCUGCCCCGGAGUUCGGAAUAGUCCCUCUAACGAGGGGGUAAUACCGAAUGCCGUGCCGAGGGGGCAUCCCCCUGGCACGAAAGCUCCGGCGCUCCGGGAGGGGCCCACGUAGUAUUAGCUAGUUGGUGGGGUAACGGCCCACCAAGGCCAAGAUGCUUAGCAGGUGUGAGAGCACGACCUGCGCCACUGGCACUGGGACACUGGCCAGACUCCUACGGGAGGCUGCAGUCGAGGAUCUUCGGCAAUGGGCGCAAGCCUGACCGAGCGACGCCGCGUGUGCGACGAAGGCCUUCGGGUUGUAAAGCACUGUCGUGAGGGAGAAAAGCCGCAAGGCUUGAUCGACCUCAGGAGGAAGCACGGGCUAAGUUCGUGCCAGCCGCCGCAGUAAGAC